AUUCCCAUAGCUCAGUGGAUAGAGGAGGCGCCUUCCAAGUGCUUGGCCGCAGGUUCGAGUCCUGCCGGGG
rnacentral:tRNA from 1 species